GAGAGAGAGAGAGAGAGAGAGAGAGAGGGAGAGAGAAAGGGAAGAGAAAAGUCAGCAGAGGGAGCAGAGACAAAGCAUGAUGGAGGAAAUGAAGUGUGCUCGGCAGCAUGUGGACCAUGUGCUCAGCAUGUAACUGCGGAGUGUCGCGCCAUGGAAAGGUGUCUGCAACCCCGGGCUCCCUCCUGCACGACUCUUGGCGUUUGCAACAGCAAGGGGCGGAGGAAGAAAACUCGAGUCCGGAGACAGACAACCACAAGAAGCUGAAAUCGCCAUGGUGAAGAUGAUUGACAAGGUGAAGAUGAUUGACAAGGUGAAGAUGAUUGACAAGGUGGAGAUGAUUGACAAAGUAGAGAUGAUUGACAUUGGUCAUCCAUUCUUCUACCGGUAAGAUACUGGUCCUUCCAUCUGUUAUACAGAGCUUCUAGAGGAAUGACGUUGUCAUGUGUGUUCAGGCCCUCCGAUGUAGACCCAAACAUCUUGAUUCCUAAAAACUAUACCUGUUAUAGAUUUUACUAUUGUCUUCAAAGAGGGAAAUACCUGUGGAAGGACUGUACCAAUCUAGCUCUCUCCCUAUACAUUCAUUCACUUUUACUUACUGACUUUCCGUAUCUAUUUAGUGAACUGGUUCACAAUUUCUGCAGUUUUGGGUCGAGGAUGUUCAAUGUCUAAUUCAGUCCAAGGGUUGCACUUACAUUCAGAGGAUCCCCUACUCAUUCUCUCAUUAUUUCACUCUGUCAUUCUCUGUGUUCUCAUUCUAUCAUUCUCUCAGUUCUCUCAUUCUCUCAUUAUUUCACU